rnacentral:rRNA from 1 species
CGUAGGUGGCGAGCGUUAUCCGGAAUUAUUGGGCGUAAAGAGCGCGCAGGUGGUUGAUUAAGUCUGAUGUGAAAGCCCACGGCUUAACCGUGGAGGGUCAUUGGAAACUGGUCAACUUGAGUGCAGAAGAGGGAAGUGGAAUUCCAUGUGUAGCGGUGAAAUGCGUAGAGAUAUGGAGGAACACCAGUGGCGAAGGCGGCUUCCUGGUCUGUAACUGACACUGAGGCGCGAAAGCGUGGGGAGCAAACAGGAUUAGAUA